rnacentral:rRNA from 1 species
AAGUCGAGGGGCAGCAGUCCCGUAGCAAUACGGGAGCUGGCGACCGGCAAACGGGUGCGGAACACGUACACAACCCUUCCUUUAAGCGGGGAAUAGCCCGGGGAAACCCGGAUUAAUACCCCAUAGUAUAUUGAUAAGGCAUCUUAUUAAUAUUAAAGAUUUAUCACUUGAAGAUGGGUGUGCGGCUGAUUAGGUAGUUGGCGGGGUAACGGCCCACCAAGCCAACGAUCAGUAACUGGUGUGAGAGCACGACCAGUCACACGGGCACUGAGACACGGGCCCGACUCCUACGGGAGGCAGCAGUAAGGAAUAUUGGUCAAUGGACGCAAGUCUGAACCAGCCAUGCCGCGUGGAGGAUGAAGGCCCUCUGGGUUGUAAACUUCUUUUAUAUGGGACGAAAAAGGACUUUUCUAAGUCAACUGACGGUACCAUUUGAAUAAGCACCGGCUAACUCCGUGCCAGCAGCCGCGGUAAUACGGAGGGUGCAAGCGUUAUCCGGAUUCACUGGGUUUAAAGGGUGCGUAGGUGGGUUGGU